CUGGAAUAUGUCUAUAAAGGGAAGUUUUCCCUCAUCAACUAUUUGGUUUACCUGGUCACUUUCAUGGAGGAAAGCUUUGACCACCGGGAGGGCUUUUGGUUGACACUUACGCCCCUGUGACAUAUUCCCGGAGAGACUUUGUCCCUUUCAUCUCCGCAUUCCUAGCACGGCUACCAGCAGACAUCCAGGAAGUGUUCAUCGAAGGAGUGAAGGAAAAAAAGGCC